rnacentral:rRNA from 1 species
ACGCUCGACACCUACUGGAGGCAGCAGUGGGGAAUAUUGCACAAUGGGGGAAACCCUGAUGCAGCGACGCCGCGUGAAGGAUGAAGUAUUUCGGUAUGUAAACUUCUAUCAGCAGGGAAGAAAGUGACGGUACCUGACUAAGAAGCCCCGGCUAACUACGUGCCUGCAGCCGCGGUAAUCUGAGCGGGCUGGCAAGGC